CAAGUUAGGAUUUAACCGGUCCAGUGUAGCAUUUUUUAAAAAGCUCCUUAGGUGAUGGAGUGUAAGAGCUGCUAAGAACCACUGCUACAGACCAAGUGCUGCAUCCUGAUACAAAACUGCCUCACCGAACAAUCAGGAUGUUCAGAGCAGCAACAAGAGGAAAACCACCAGCUAGAAUAAGAGAUCAAGAUGCGCCUGGAUAUAAAUCUUGCACAAAACACAGAAUUAUUUCACGGUUGGCCUUCUCUACACCAACUGCACCAAAACAGAUUUUCCCUGGGCUUGCACCAGGGGAUUGUGUCAAAUACAGGCUCAUGUCAACGUGGUCGUGAAUGACACCACUAUCAAAAACCCAAGUAACACUAGACAGUGUUGAAAACCUCAUGGCACCUAACCUCAGUAAGUCCGCAGGCAGAUGUCUGCCAGAGGAUUAGAGACCUCUAAUCGCCUAUAACAAAAAGCUUUCCUGUGCUUACCACAGAAGUUCUUUUAAAGUUCUACUGAAAGUUUCCUUCCCUGAUUUGUUCAACUGUAAAAUUUCAAACAGAGUGCUACAAAAGACCACGGUUGCAGGCAGCAGAGAGAAAAAGGAGGGUCACAUAAUCCAAGGAUGCGAGGAUCUGGAAACGCCAGCAUACCUCUCUGGGAAUGAAGCAUCUAGUGUGGCCUGAUGUCAGAACACCUCCUUCCUAAUUACCCACCUGCCUUUGACAUGACUCAGCAGAGACCUAUAAACACCGCCCCUCGGUGACCCAAUGGAGCACUGCCUCCUCAGUCCUCACUGCUAAAGGUGUAGGGGCAGAAGAGCCCUGAGAGAUGGAAUUUAGUCCCAACCUGUAAAGGAAAUCACCAAGCAAAAUUUCUAAUAACUGCUUAUUCUAGACUCUUUGGAAAUAAUAUUAAAUAACAGCCACUGCCCUGGAAAAAUUCCUGUCAGUCUGGAGAAACGUGAGAAAAAAUUGCAACAAGGCCCUUGGCUAGGAAUCAAUAAAGAAACCUAAGUAGAACA